AAAGUUGAAAAGAACUUUGAAGAGAGAGUUCAAGAGUACGUGAAACCGUUCAGGGGUAAACCUGAGAAACCCAAAAGAUCGAAUGGGGAGAUUCAUCGUCAGCUCAUUUUGUAUAUGUGUAAGUUAUGAUAUGGGUUACUACUUGUAGUAUUGCCUGUACAUUCUUAUAUAUUUUGUUGCAAGAUGUUGUCGGCGUGCACUUCUCCCCUAGUAGGACGUCGCGACCCGUUAGAUGUCAUUCUACGACCCGAGUGGUAGCCUUUGAUGUAUCUUUAACGAGUUAUAUUAAAGACCCUUGGUGUUUUUUGAUUGUCAUUUGGCGGUAUUCGUAUGGUAUUAAGCCGCAAUUAAUUUGCGUCCAUGACCGUCGCAAGCGAGGUUAAUUUUUAUGGUAGUACGGACCUAGUGCCGUCGCUAUAAUUGACCAGCUGUUGGUUGUACGGUUAUCUGGGACUGGCUUCAAAUUAAAAUACCGGUCAGCGAUGCUACUGCUUUGGGUACUUUCAGGACCCGUCUUGAAACACGGACCAAGGAGUCUAACAUGUACGCGAGUCAUUGGGAUAUUUUUAAAAAUUAAACCUAAAGGCGUAAUGAAAGUAAAAGUCGUCCUUGCGUCGACUGAGGGAGGAUGAGUUGUAUUAUUAUACAGCUCCGCACUCCCGGGGCGUCUCAUUCUCAUUACGAGAAGAG
rnacentral:rRNA from 1 species